UACGAAGGGGGCAAGCGUUGUCCGGAUUCACUGGGCGUAAAGCGCGCGCAGGCGGUCUUCUACGUCUGGGGUGAAAACCCGGGGCUCAACCCCGGGACUGCCUUGGAUACGGGAAGACUUGAGGAUCGGAGAGGCAAGGGGAAUUCCGACGUGUAGCGGUGAAAUGCGUAGAGAUGUGGAGGAACACCUGUGGCGAAGGCGCCCUGCUGGCCGAUUUCUGACGCUGAGGCGCGAAAGCGUGGGAGCAAACAGGAU
rnacentral:rRNA from 1 species